rnacentral:pre_miRNA from 1 species
AACAUACUCCCUCCAUCUGGAAUUAGUUGUCUUACAUUUGUCAAGAUACGGAUGUAUCUAAGACAUGUUUUAGUGUUAGAUACAUCCAUAUGUAGACAAAUCUAAGAUAUCUAAUUUGGAGCGGAUGUAAUACAUG